rnacentral:misc_RNA from 1 species
AUUAGCAAAAAUUCCCCAUAAAAACAAUACUUCCUCAGGGACUUGCACAAAAUGCCGCAGAUAAGAAAACCAAAAAUCAGAAGGAUGUUUUUUCUUUUUUGAUAAUACAAAGAAAAGAAUUGUCUCAAUUUUGUUAUGACAGAUGAUAUUUUUCAAGAAGACAACACAUGUUUAACCUCAGAAGUAACUUCCUUUGGUGGUUUCUCAGCAUGAAGACUUGCAACAACACCUUUGGUGGAAUAAUAAUUGAUUACCGGCUCAGUUUGACGGUGAAAUGCAUCUAGCCUUGAUUUAAGAACCUCAGCAGUAUCAUCUUUCCGUUGAAUUAAAGGCUCUCCAGUGACAUCAUCGACGCCAGGAACUUUUGGGGGUUGGAAUUUGGUGUGAUAAGAUCUACCACUUGAAGGGUGAAUCCACCGGCCUGUGAUCCGCUCUUCCAAGAUUGCAUCAUCAAUUGCAAAAUUG